rnacentral:tRNA from 1 species
GGGGCUGGGGCUCAGCGGUAGAGCACUCACCUAGCACGUGCGAGACCCCAGGUUCGAUCCUCAGCACCA